ensembl:lncRNA
GUUUUUUCCUGCUCUAGUUAGCUUGACACUUUUUAAAGUGAUGUAGCUCUGAUAAGAUCUUGUUACAACUGGUGUUCGGGUCAUUGGCUGCAAAAAUGUGAAGGAAAGAGGAGGUUGUUGCAGAACUUCUGCAGCAGGUGAUGAUUAGCUCCCAUUCUUCAGUUGGCGUUUUCACUUCUCAGUUAUGAUGACUCUUUGCUUUUAACAAAUGAGGCAAGCAGACUUUCAGCUCAAGACUGCUUUGUGGAGCUUUAAAUUUGCUACCUCAGCUUUUGGAUGUCUGAGGCAAUAAAAUAAAAUCUCCUUCCUGCAGUCGUACCCCGUGGCAGUGUAGUGGCUCUGACAUAGGGGCUAUCUGCUUGCACUGGGAGGUUCAGUCUCCAGGAAAAGUUUCCAAUAAACAGCUUCCAUCAGGAGAGCCGAACUGGUGGCAGCCACAGUGGGAAUUGUUUACUACCGUGCUCCAGCGCAGACAAGGCCUCAUUGUCUGACUUUGACAGGGAAAACGUCCAGUUUUGCAAACUUUGCUGAGCAAGGGAGAAAAUAAUUAUAUUGCAGAUCAGCUUACAAGGGGCACAUUCAUGUUUGGAAGAAAACUUGAUUUCCUUAGGGUGGGGAAGAGAGGCACUGCUGCCAAAGGGAAAAGCCAGCCAGCAGUGUCAGUGACCUACAAAGAUGGCCUUGAGCCAGCAGCUGCUCCUGGUCAGUCGGGACCCAGGAACCUGGGGCCGGGUCCCUGGCCCUGGCUGGCACGGGGUUCGCCAUGAGCGGCGUGGGGUGGACGACGGUACAGCCUGCCUGGGGAGGUGUUGGUGCAGCCACAUCGUGUUCAGGGCCCAGAGCAUUGGUGACAUUUUGUCCUCAUGUGUUUUUAUUUAGGAGGAUGACAGGGUGAGUAUUUAACGAAUAGGUUUUGCGGCACGGGGCUGGCUGCGAUCAGCUGUGCCCUGUUGGUUAUGGUUAUGGCAUGGCUGCCUUCCCCCGUGCAGAGUGUACCAGCUGGAGCCAUUUUGGUUGUCUACCCAAGGGGGCGGAUGCAAUUAUCUUCUUUUCGCAAGUUUGCAUGUAAUUUCCUUCCCUUAAUCUU